CGCAGGGGACACAGGUUUGAUCCCUGGUCCGGGAAGAUCCCACAUGCCGCGGAGCAACUAAGCCCGUGCGCCACAACUACUGAGGCUGCGCUCUAGAGCCUGGGAGCCACAACUGAGCCUGCAUGCCGCAACUACUGAAGCCCACGCCCCUAGAGCCUGUGUUAUGCAACAAGAGAAGCCACUGCAAUGAGAAGCCCGCACACUGCAAGGAAGAGUAGCCCCUUCUCACUGCAACUAGAGAAAGCCUGAACGCAGUAAUGAAGACCCAACGCAGCCAAAAAAGAUAAAUAAAAUAAUAAUAAUAAUAUAAGCCAGGAAAAUCACUAGAAAAGUAAACUUUUUACCUUUUUUUUUUUUUUUUUUUCUUUUUUAGCUGCACUGUGUGGCAUGCAAGAUCUUAGUUCCCUGAGCAGGGAUCAAACCUGUGCCCCCUGCAGUGGAAGCAUGGAGUCUUAACCACUGGACCACCAGAGAAGUCCCAGGAAAACAUUCACUUUUGAUAGGAAUAUAUUAGGACAUCUCAUAUCCUCAGGUGUACAGAUUAAGCUUCGAGUGCAGCCUCAAGACUCAAGGGAAACAGAAUGAUUAUGAGCCCUCCCACAGAACCCUGGUGCUCAAUGGAUUUCCUCUAAUCAGACAACAAUGCACAUCACUGCUCCAGAUGAACUACCAUGAAAAAAGGGUCAAUGUAUUCUGUGAAACUCUGUGCAUGGGGAAGCUAAGAAUGUCUGGUGUCCUUGGGAUAGUGAUGAUAUUGAGGCGAGGCUAGGAAAAGAGCUGCAAUACGUACAAAAAUAUCCCUUUGACUUUAGUCCCUUGUGGGCUACACACAUUUCUACGUGGACCUACUUAUUUCCUUCUUACCAGAAGCACCUGCUAUUCCUGUCUCCCUGGGAACUUGUGGCCCCCCUCUCGCUAUUUGAACAGCCUUGGUCCUGACCUGUGGGCAUGUAUGUGUGAGGUAUGUGGCCAGGGGGUAUGAAAGUGAGGGGAGAGAGGACCUCUUUGUGAGUCAGAAAAUAAAAUGUUAAAAGGUACUGAAUCUGUGAUCCUGCCUUACUUACCCUCCUGCUCUUAUGAGACCGGUUUCUGCUUUUCUGUCUUCCUGGCUGGGUUGAGAAAAGGUGGUUCUGAGAGAGCUCAAACCUUCUUUCCAACCUUGCACAAGCAGGGUAGACAGAGAGAGAUUCUUGCAGAAUGUAAGUGACUGUGACAGUACAGGGGCAGCACACAGAGGCACGUGUUCAUUAUGUAUGGCUGGAGAAAUUAUCUGUCUCCAGGGGGACAUGUUUCACUGUGCAUUAGCUUCUCGCUGUUUCCUUCUUCCCUAUUUCUCUGCCCACUCUAUCACUUGUCCUUCUGAGUCUCCCUUCCCACUCCCUGACCCACACCCCCAUUCACAGUCCAGCUCUGCCUAUCAAUGUCUCCAUCCAUCUUCUCUGCCACGACCCGUCUCCCUCUCCUCUUUGCUCAAUCUCGCUCUUGCUGUCCAGGAGUCACUUUUCUUUCUCAUUUUGUCUCUUGUUUUCUCUAGCUCACUUUCUCGCAUUCCAUCUGUCUUUCCCUCUGUAAUACCAGCUUUUUGGGUACCCUGAAGCUAGCAAUAACCUUUUCUUGUUACAUUAACGUCCAUAAGCAGCACUUGGUUUAUUGAUUGAUUAGUUUUUAUUUAAAUUCUGUGGAGGAAAGAGAAGGGAAUUUUUAUAAAGUGAGAGCAGAGAGAAAACAUGAUAUCAAGCAGAGAGACAACAGAAAGAAGGGGCAUCCUGAGAAGAUGGGGGUGGGGCUGAUAUAGGGGGAGGCAUCAGAAGGGGUUGAACCCACGGUGUCUAAUUUCCUUUCACAUAAACUGGUUCAGAUCUUCACGGCUGAUGACAGCUAAGUCUGGAUUAUAAAGUGUGAAGUGCCAAGUUAGGCUUGGCACCUGACUCAGAGGCAGAGCUUCAGGGAGAAAUGAGUUGGGUUAAAUAAACCCAAGAAGCUGACGUGGGUAGAAUUUCUGCCUGACCCAUUAACAACGGCGAAUGGGACAUUUUAGAAAUGGUUUUUAUUGAAAUGCUUCAGUGGGGCAUAGCCCCGAGAAGCAAGAACUUGGCUGUGAGGCCAGCCCUGGGGUGCACUGUGGGGAUGUGGAGAGUCGGCUGAUGCAGGGGUGGGGGGUGGCCCGGGUCAGGCAGGAGGUGGCAACAGCUGCUCAUCAGAGCAGUUGUGACUGCUGUGUUUGCUCUCUCAUCUUGCCCGCUAUAAUUAAAGCUUUCCCAAUACGAUUCUGGCUUCCUAAAGGGAAACUAGAAUUUAAAAAACAAACAAGAAAAAAUACCCCAAAAUAGCAGAGAUGCUUAGUUGCAAUAUACAUGUUUUAUUUUUAAAAUAAAUUUAUUAUUAUUUAAAAAUUUUUUUUUGGCUGCGUUGGGUCUUUGUUGCUGCACGCGGGCUUUCUCUAGUUGCAGCGAGCGGAAGCUAUUCUUCGUUGCGGUGCGCGGGCUUCUCAUUGAGGUGGCUUCUCUUGUUGUGGAGCACGGGCUCUAGGCACGCGGGCUUCAGUAGUUGUGGCACACAGGCUCAGUAGUUGUGGCGCACGGGUUUAGUUGCUCCGCGGCAUGUGGGAUCUUCCCGGACCAGGGCUCUAACCCGUGUUUCCUGCAUUGGCAGGCGGAUUCUUAACCGCCUCGAGGGAAGUCCCUAUACAUAUAUUUUAAAUCAUAAAGCUGUUAAUCCUGUCUUGAGGUCACUGCUGCUGGUCAGUUUCAAAGCAUCUAAUCUACUGCUAGAGCCCUGGCAGGAGGGGGUCUUAAAAAAACAACCAAAACUAACAGAAAAUGAAAUAUCUAAUUGUAUUCACCAAAUUAGAUACGCUCAUGUGAAUUCAUCACUGACCCAACCAUCCUCCUUCUUCUGAGACUAGGGAAAUGCUCCCCCAGUUUCCCUCCAACCUUUUUUCACCUUACUCCCUUUCCAUCCCCCCCCUUGCCUCCCUCCCCUGAGAGUCCACAUAGAACCUGUGGACCAUAACAAAUCAGUUGUUUUAUUUCCCCUCAAAGGAUGUAACUUUCCAUUCCCCAAAUGGCUUUGACAGUUUUCUCAUUUGCUAGCUGAGGAGGAUAUCAAGAGACACUGACCUUCUGGUUUUGCCUAAAGAGGGAACACUCAGUAACUAUUAUGCUUCAGUCCCUGAUUUAACUGUGACCUUCCUCCCUCCUCCUCAUGUCCUCGCCUACCUUUUCACCUUCCCUCAUGAACAUUCUACUCACCCCACAGGGCACCGCUGCUCCCUGUAGCCCUCCCUUGCCUGGUUUGGAGAUGCUGUAAGGCACAUCUGUCUUCAACCCCACAGCAUUCCCUGCCAGCAAGAGGAAGCAUGGGGCCUCUAGGAGUGUUUUGCUCCCUGUUUAAUCAGAUUAGUCCCAUCACCUACCCUGAGGAGUCACAUUUUGGUGUUACUGAGCUAUCUGUGGAAGGAGAAAUUGUCAGACAUCACUGAAAAAGCCCUGGCCCUUGGAUGCCUGGGAAUUGCAGAGAGAAAUUAAUCUUCUGGCUAUUUAAGGCAAUUUCUUUUCCAUAAUCCUUUGUCAAGAGGACUGCACUGGGAAAUUAAUCUGAUGGGAGUCCCUGAACUGGUACACUCCACUCAACAGCAUCUCUCCAGUGCUAUGCAGCAUCCAUCAUCCCUGCACAAGCAGAGACACACAUCACUGCAAAGCUAACUCCCCACCAGUCCCAGCAGCAAGAGACUGCAAUUGCAGAGUGAGCAUCACUGGGCCUGGAGACUUGCAGUUUUCCUCUAUCUCUGCUCUAAUUUCUUUCCAGAAAACCUACCACAGAUUGAUCUCUUCCAUUAAGCCAGUCUUUCUUUUUUUUUUGGUACUUGGGCCUCUCACUGUUGUGGCCUCUCCCAUUGCGGAGCACAGGGCUUUCCGGACGCGCAGGCUCAGCGGCCAUGGCUCAUGGGCCCAGCCGCUCUGCGGCAUGUGGGAUCUUCCCGGAUCGGGGCACGAACCCGUGUCUCCUGCAUGGGGAGGCGGACUCUCAACCACUGCGCCACCAGGGAAGCCCAAGCCAGUCUUUCUUUUAUCCAAAAUGCAGGAAGGCAGAGAAGCAGGGAUAUGCCAGAACACAGGACUCUAGGAUAUGCGGUUUUUGCCUGAACAUAAGGACUCAGCCAGUGCAGAACAGGUGUUUACACUGAACAGCUAGACCACUGCAAAGUCAGGUGUGAGAUAGCAACAAGGCAAGGGCAGCAUUGCUUCAUGACUAUCUCUCCUCUCCAGACUGAAUUUUCUUUCAUGGGAAAAGAGCCCAGGGAGUCUCAUGCUCUCUGGGGGUCAGUGUAAAAGAAUUUCAAUCUUCAACUCUCUUUUCUUCCUGAAGGUUAUUUCCCAGGGCAGUUAUUUUCAAAUUGUGUUCCUUGGGGUUCCAAGAAGUUCCAGGGAGUAUGCAUGGUGGUGGGAGGUGAUGUGGGAAGUGGCCGGAGGGGGAAGCUUAAUGGUUGAGGCUCUGGACCCUUCAUCUCUACUUCAAUCUGAUUUGAUUUCUUUCAGGGGCUUGGAUUUCUCCUAAGAGUUCUUUUUUUUCUUU